UUUGAAGGGACGUAUUUAUUAGAUUUAUGGCCAGCCGGGCUAGCCCGACCAGCGGUGAAUCAUGGUAACUUGACGGAUUGCAUGGCCUUUGUGCCGGCGACAUGUCAUUCAAGUUUCUGCCCCAUCAGGUUUCGACUGUAGUGUAUUGGACUACAGUGCCGAUAACGGGUAGCGGAGGAUUAGGGUUCGAUUCCGGAGAGGGAGCCUGAGAAACGGCUACCACAUCCAAGGAAGGCAGCAGGCGCGCAAAUUACCCCAAUCCCAACUCAGGGAGGUAGUGACAAGAAAUAACAAUGCGGGGCCACUAGCUCUGCAAUUGAAAUGAGUACAAUUUAAACCACUUAACGAGUACCAAUUGGAGGGCAAGUCUGGUGCCAGCAGCCGCGGUAAUUCCAGCUCCAAUAGCGUAUAUGUAAGUUGUUGCGAUUAAAAAGCCCGUAGCUGAAUCUCGGGCAGCCCUGAUGGUCCGCAAUCGUGAGUACUGUCGUGGGCUGUCUUUCUGGUAAGUCCUGUAUCCCGGCGUUUACUCGCCGAGAACAGAGCUUACCAAGGUUACUUUGAGUAAAAUAGAGUGUUCAAAGCAAGCGUGCGCUCUGAAUACACUAGCAUGGGAUAACACGACAUGACCGAUGGUCUAUCUUGUUGGCCUAUAGACCUGUUGGUAAUGGCUAAUAGGGACGGUCGGGGGCAUUCGUAUUUCGCUGUCAGAGGUGAAAUUCUUGGAUUUGCGAAAGACGAACUACUGCGAAAGCAUUUGCCAAGGACGCUUUCAUUAGUCAAGGACGAAAGUCGGGGGAUCGAAGACGAUUAGAUACCGUCGUAGUCUCGACCAUAAACGAUGCCAAUUAGGGAUUGGAGGGUGGAUUCAAUAUGCCUCCUCCAGCACCUUCCGCGAAAGCAAAAUUUAUGGGCUUCGGGGGGAGUAUGGUCGCAAGGCUGAAACUUAAAGGAAUUGACGGAACGGCACCACCAGGCGUGGAGCCUGCGGCUUAAUUUGACUCAACACGGGAAAACUUACCAGGUCCAGACAGAAGUAGGAUUUACAGAUUGACAGCUCUUUAAAGAUUUUUUGGAUGGUGGUGCAUGGCCGUUCUUAGUUCGUGGAUUGAUUUGUCAGGUUGAUUCCGGUAACGGACGAGACCCCAACCUACUAACUAGCUCUUGUUGAUUCUCAGCAAGCCAGCUUCUUAGAGGGACUCUCGGAAAGAAACCGAAGGAGGUGGGGCAAUAACAGGUCUGUGAUGCCCUUAGAUGUCCUGGGCCGCACGCGCGCUACACUGAUGCACUCAACGAGCCUACCCUGUGCCGAGAGGUAUGGGUAAUCUGCGAAACUGCAUCGUGAUGGGGCUAGAUUAUUGCAAUUAUUGAUCUUCAACGAGGAAUGCCUAGUAAGUGCGAGUCAUCAACUCGCGUUGAUUACGUCCCUGCCGUUUGUACACACCGCCCGUCGCUCCUACCGAUUGGGUGUGCUGGUGAAGUGCUCGGAUUGGACGCCUUACCAUUUUUGGGAGGCGUCUGAGAAGUUCAUUGAACCCUCUC
rnacentral:rRNA from 1 species